GAUGAACGCUAGCGGAAGGCAUAAUACAUGCAAGUCGAACGGAUGUAGCAAUACAUUAGUGGCGCACGGGUGCGUAACGCGUAUGCAACCUACCUUCAUCAGGGGGAUAACUACCCGAAAGGGUGGCUAACACCGCAUAAUACUAUUGAGUGGCAUCACUUGGUAUUUAAAUCUGAGGAGGAUGAAGAUGGGCAUGCGUCUGAUUAGCUAGUUGGUGUGGUAACGGCGCACCAAGGCGACGAUCAGUAGGGGAACUGAGAGGUUGGUCCCCCACACUGGCACUGAGAUACGAGCCAGACUCCUAUGGGAGGCAGCAGUAGGGAAUAUUGGUCAAUGGUGGGACCACUGAACCAGCCAUUCCGCGUGCAGGAAGAAGGGUCUCUGACUUGUAAACUGCUUUAGCAAGGGAAGAAAAAGCUCAUGCGUGAGAAAUUGACGGUACCUUGAGAAUAAGCACCGGCUAACUACGUGCCAGCAGCCGCCGUAAUAC
rnacentral:rRNA from 1 species